GUGCUCACUUCAGCAGCACAUACAAUAAAACUGCAAUGACAGAUAUUAGCAUGGCCCCUGAACAAGGAUGACAAGCAAAUUGGUGAUGUGUUCUAUAUUUUA